rnacentral:lncRNA from 1 species
GGUCAGAGCCUCCCGGUCAGUCCCAGGGUAAAGCGACCCAUUGAAAACAGGAUCCUCAUUCUACCCAGUGUCACGAGAAAUGAAACAGGACCCUAUGAAUGUGAAAUACGGGACCGAGAUGGUGGCAUGCGCAGUGACCCAGUCACCCUGAAUGUCCUCUAUGGUCCAGACCUCCCCAGCAUUUACCCUUCAUUCACCUAUUACCGUUCAGGAGAAAACCUCUACUUGUCCUGCUUCGCGGAAUCUAACCCACCGGCAGAGUAUUUUUGGACAAUUAAUGGGAAGUUUCAGCAAUCAGGACAAAAGCUCUCUAUCCCCCAAAUUACUACAAAGCAUAGAGGGCUCUAUACUUGCUCUGUUCGUAACUCAGCUACUGGCAAGGAAAGCUCCAAAUCCAUGACAGUCGAAGUCUCUGCUCCUUCAGGAAUAGGACGUCUUCCUCUCCUUAAUCCAAUAUAGCAGCCGUGAAGUCAUUUCUGUAUUUCAGGAAGACUGGCAGACAGUUGCUUUGAUUCUUCCUCAAACUACUUACAAUCACCUACAGUCCAAAAUUGCUUUUUCUUCAAGGAGAUUUAUGGAAAAGACUCUGACAAGGACUCUUGAAUACAAGUUCCUGAUAACUUCAAGAUCAUACCACUGGACUAAGAACUUUCAAAAUUUUAAUGAACAGGCUGAUACCUUCAUGAAAUUCUAGACAAAGAAGAAAAAAACUCCAUGUUAUUGGACUAAAUAAUCAAAAGCAUAAUGUUUUCAUAAUUUUCUAUUUGAAAAUGUGCUGAUUCUUUGAAUGUUUUAUUCUCCAGAUUUAUGAACUUUUUUUCUUGAGCAAUUGGUAAAGUAUACUUUUGUAAACAAAAAUUGAAACAUUUGCUUUUGCUCUCUAUCUGAGUGCCCCAGAAUUGGGAAACUAUUCAUGAGUAUUCAUAUGUUUAUGGUAAUAAAGUUAUCUGCACAAGU